GGGCUCACACAAGCGGUGGAGGAUGUGGUUUAAUUCGAUGCAACGCGAAGAACCUUACCAGCGUUUGACAUGGGAAGUGCCGGUUACAGAAUGGUAACCUUCAGUUCGGCUGGCUUCCACACAGGUGCUGCAUGGCUGUCGUCAGCUCGUGUCGUGAGAUGUUGGUUAAGUCCCGCAACGAGCGCAACCCUUAUCGUUAGUUACUAACAGUUCGGCUGAGGACUCUAGCGAAACUGCCGGUGAUAAGCCGGAGGAAGGUGGGGAUGACGUCAAGUCCUCAUGGCCCUUACACGCUGGGCUACACACGUGCUACAAUGGUAACUACAACGGGACGCAAUACCGCGAGGUG
rnacentral:rRNA from 1 species